rnacentral:siRNA from 1 species
AGGUAGUGACAAUAAAUAA